UACAGAGGUCUCAAGCGUUGUUCGGGUUCAUUGGGCGUAAAGGGUGCGUAGGUGGUGAUGCAAGUCUGGUGUGAAAUCUCGGAGCUCAACUCCGAAAUUGCACCGGAUACUGCGUGACUCGAGGACUGUAGAGGAGAUCGGAAUUCACGGUGUAGCAGUGAAAUGCGUAGAUAUCGUGAGGAAGACCAGUUGCGAAGGCGGAUCUCUGGGCAGUUCCUGACACUGAGGCACGAAGGCCAGGGGAGCAAACGGG
rnacentral:rRNA from 1 species